rnacentral:tRNA from 5 species
GGUCCGCUCGUCUAAAUGGUUAGGACACAGCCCUUUCACGGCUGCAAUGACCGGUUCGAGUCCGGCGCGGAUCUCCA